GUCAUGAUGCAAAUCCAAAGUGUUGUGUGCAGUAUUUAUGUGCAGCUGAGUAGAGUGGAGCAGCUGAGACUUGCCAACAUUCACCAUGAAGAUCACUCUUUCUUUAUUCCUGCUACUAAGCAGCCUCAUCAAUGUAAAAUGUCAAAGUCUUGAGUCAUUACAAGCAACAGUACAGAAGAAACCUGGAGAAACUCUGAGUCUCUCCUGCAGAGGAUCUGGAUUUACUUUUGGAAACUACAACAUGCACUGGAUCAGACAACAGGCGAACAAACCACUGGUGUGGAUAGGGGAUAUCCAUCAUGAUGCCAGUGGCACUGGCUAUAGUAAAUUUUUUGAAGGGAGAACAGAAAUCACCAGAGAUAAUUCCAACAACAUGGUGUAUCUGAAACUCACUGGUCUGACAAUAGAGGACACAGCUGUGUAUUACUGCGCACGGGAAGCACAGUGA